rnacentral:rRNA from 1 species
UACGUAGGGGGCAAGCGUUGUCCGGAUUUAUUGGGCGUAAAGAGCGUGUAGGCGGUCAGGUAGGUCCGUUGUGAAAACUCGAGGCUCAACCUCGAGACGCCGAUGGAAACCAUCUGACUAGAGUCCGGAAGAGGAGAGUGGAAUUCCUGGUGUAGCGGUGAAAUGCGCAGAUAUCUGGAGGAACACCAGUGGCGAAGGCGGCUUCCUGGCCUGUAACUGACGCUGAGACGCGAAAGCGUGGGGAGCGAACCGG